rnacentral:lncRNA from 10 species
CGUGGGCGUAGGACCCUCCGAGCCAGGUGUGGGAUAUAAUCUCGUGGUGCGCCGUUUUUUAAGCCCGUCGGAAAAGCGCAGUAUUCGGGUGGGGUGACCUGAUUUUCCAGGUGCCCUCAGUCACCCCUUUCUUUGACUCGGAAAGGGAACUCCCUGACCCCUUGCGCUUCCCAAGUGAGGCAAUGCCUCGCCCUGCUUCGGCUCGCACACGGUGUGCGCACCCACUGACCUGCGCCCACUGUCUGGCACUCCCUAGUGAGAUGAACUGGGUACCUCAGAUGGAAAUGCAGAAAUCACCCGUCUUCUGCGUCGCUCACGCUGGGAGCUGUAGACCGGAGCUGUUCCUAUUCGGCCAUCUUGGCUCCUCCUGCUUCUUUCCUUGAUAUGAUGUUCAAACCAGGAAAAUGUGCAAAUAUCAAGGUUACCUGGGUCUGCUGGUCACUUCUAGUUUUUGGACUCUUGAAGAUGGUCUCUGUGACUCUGUCCUGGGUGAGAAGAAAGCAAGCAAGUAAGAGACCAAAGACUUGGAUUAAAAGCAAGAUGAGAAGUAAAAAGAGUACCUAGUGAUUUAAAGAUUUGUUCCCUUCCUAGCCUCCAAAGUGCUUGCCAUUCAAGAAGCCUUCAUGCCCUCAGCUUUAUUGGGAGGGCAUCCUGGAAUGAACCCCACUGCGCAGGAGAGGCAAGGAAACUGUUCUUAGAAGAGGCCUGAAGAGAAACAUGACUGACUAGCAGUUGUGAAACUGAGCCAUCAACUGUGCCUAGAGAUCACUGAAGUGAAGGACCGGAGACACUAAAGCUAAGAGUUAACGUUUAUUGAGCAUCUACAGUAUACCAAGCCCUCUUCUAGAAACAAAUGAACACAAAGUUCUUGGCACAGUGCCUGGCACAGUCAGGCUCCAUCAAGUUUCAUUUCCUUUCUCCCUGCUAUUAAAUGAGAAAGAGGGCAUGAGGAGGUGGGAGUAAAGGAGCCAGAAAGGGAAGGUAGGAGACUGGCAAGAAGAAGCUCUGGCUGCUCUGGGAUGCAACAUGCAGGUUCCCGCAACCCUCCUGGAGUAGGAGGAGAAGCUGCCCCUCACUGACCACUCAGGAAGGAGAGAAGCUUCCCAUGUCAACGCCCCCAGCUCUCAUCUGGGUCAGAGCCAGCAAUGAGGACAGGUGGGAGAGUAGAAGGAAUGACUCUUCUCCCUUGGGCUGCCUCUGAUCCCCACCAAGUCGGUCCUCUGUCCCCAACUUACCCUCCUGGUCAGAGGAAAAUGUCCUGGGAAAUAAUCCCUGCCUUCUCUUGUUUUUUCUUCCUUUGUUUCAUAGUUAGUUUCUGCAUCAUUUUAGUUUUUUUUAAAGAGGGGAAUAAGCACUUGAUUGAAUUAUAUCCCAGGGAGGUAUAGGUCUGAAGAACCUGAGAUCUGGCUUCCCAGUGGGCAUCUUCCUCUCUUGUGAGCCCCCAGACUCUGCUGUCAGUGGUAAGGUCUCCUUUCCCCAAACUCCUCCCCAGUAUGGCUCACAUGUCACUUAGAAGACUGCUGGGGCUCUAGUGGUAUGAAGAGGUACAUAUUCAGACCCCAAAGUCUUAGAGGCCGGCGCAGUAGGUAAACUAGAUAAACAGAACCCACACUCAGGAGACCUGGAUUCUAGUCUACAAUUUGCCAGCUAAUACCUUGAGAAAAAUCACGUCACUUCUGAGUCUCGGUCUCCUCGUCUACCACACAGGAAACACAACACUUAUCACACAGGCCUGCUGGAUUGCUGUAAGGGUGGUAAAAUAACUCAUGCACAGGGUACCCUUGCUGACACACGGCACCUACUUGUGCUCGCUAAAUGGCUGAACCCUGAUUCUUCCCUCCCACAUUUACUUCCUUUCCCAGAUCCAAUCCUCUGGCAUUACAUCAAUGCAGAAAGAGAAGGUCUGGCCAAGUGGCAUGAAACUUUGUGACAUCAUCAGCGGCUCCAGCUCUGAGAGAAAUCCAUCCUUCUAGCCAGAGGACCAGGAAAAGGAGCUGGUCCUUUUCCGGCAAGACGGAACUCUUGCAGAGGAAAGAGGGGGAGAAAGGGAUUCCAUGUAGGAGCCAGCACAAGUCCUGACCUCACCUCCAAGAUGUGCAUGUGUGGAACACAAACAGCAUUAACAAAGGCUUUGAAAACUGAGCUGACGUUGAGACCACUGCCUACACAAGAUGAGACAGAGCUUGCUGUUGAACUUAACGGGGUUGAUUACCUGCUAAAACAAAACAAAACUCAACAUGCUUUAUGAUUUUAACAGGACCCAGAGUCUCAUAGUAUACUAUAUGAAAUGUCCAGGAAACAAUUUAAAACUACCCAAAGUGAUAAGGACCAGGAAAACAUGACCAGUUCUCAAGGGAAAAGAUAAGACAAUGUUGGAACUGGAAAAAAAAAACUCCGAAGCAUCUAUUAUAAUCAUCCUGCGUGACAUAAAGGUGAAUGCUCUUACAAUGAAUGGAAAAAUAGAAAUUCUCAGUCAAGCAAUAGAAAUUAUAUAAAAGAAGAACCAAAUGGCAAUAUAUUAGAACUGAGAAACACAAUAUCUGAAAUAAAUUCACUGGAUGGGCCCAAUAGCAGAAUGCAAAUGACAGAGGUAAUGUCAGUAGACUAGAAGGUAGAUCAUCAGAAAUUAUCCAAUGUGAAAGAUAGAAAAGUGUUUGAAAAAUAAUGAAUAAAGCCUCGAGGAUCUGUGGGACAAUACCAAAUGGUCUAAUGUUCAUGUCAUUGGAAUCCUUAAAGGCAAGGAGAAAGAGAUUGUUAUAGAACAAAAUAUUUGAAAAAACAAUGGCUGAAAACUUCCCAGAUUUGAUGACUGACAUAAAUUUAAGAUUCAAGUAGCUCGUUAAACCUCUAACAGGAUAAAUGUAAACAAAACUGAAUGUCCCACAACUCCCUACCUUCCUACCCGCCAAUGCCCUCCUCCUCACUUAUCUGGACUCUGAAAGCAUCUGAGCUUUUGACCCUGGGGUAAGGGAAGUAGCACAUGAAUAGGAGUCAGACCUCUGGGGAUUUUAACCCUGGCUCACUGACAUGUGUGAGGGCUGGAGAAAACCAGUCUUUCUGCCUGGGCCUCAGUUCCUCACCUGAAAAAAAUCUCAGGGUUGAACUAGACAGUCUUCUAAGCCCCUUCAGCUCUAAAAUACCACCCUUUAUGAACUCUUAUGUGAAAUUUUUCUGUUCAAAAAUAAUAUUAUAUAUCAAACCCUAAUGCUAUGAAACAAAAAACUGCUUUUCUGCCAAGAGUCUUUUCAAUCCUUAUAAUGGUGCAAGUGACUGAAAUGAAGAUGGUCACAGAACAGAACCAAAAAUGGAGUUCAUAGCAACCAGAAUGGAAGUCAGCUUUCCCAGCAGCUUCCGGCAGAGCCCUGCAAGCACCAUGGGAAGCCUGGAAUUCAUUGGAAAGGACAGGAAGCUCUGUAGAAAACUUUUCAUUUUCAAUAAAUGCAUUUCCAAUUUCAUC